ensembl:lncRNA
GAAUUGAUCCUGCUUUCAUCUCGCUGCUCCGGGCGGUAGUAGUUACCUUUGUGCUGCAUUCCUGCUGCUUACCCAAUGACGAGCUCUGCAAAAGCAAUACUUGACCUUGGGACUGUGCUGCCGCUGUUACCUCUGCUAGCAGCCUUGGUGCUUUUGUGCAGACCAGUUUUGUUCGAAUUCGAUGGCUGCGAUGUUGGGGCUCCUGUCAGCCCCGGAGGAGCUUCCCAGCCGGGGAGUGCGUUGCGUCAGACAUCUCCCUCGUGGUUUUCCUUCGUUUCCACUCCGUGGCCAAAGGGUUGGAGGCUCUACUUUUGCAAUCCAUAUGUUGUGUAAAUCCCAGGAGAAAUUUCUUAAAGUUCUGCUCAGGAAAGAAAAGCUAGAAAACGCGACUCAGACCAGAGAUUUCAACCUGUUCAGUUUGGGGAGGCUUCGAGGUUCCCAGCGGAAGAGCAGACUUCUGGAAAUGGCACAUCUGUGUAGCACGAAUUUUAGUUGCCUUUCAAGGACUCUUUCCAACUAGUCUGCAGACUCCCGGAGGCCUGUAAAGCACAGGCUGAAAACCAUUGUUCCAAGCCCAGGAAAGGCGGAUUAGAAAGGACCCAACUGGGCUGCAGUUUGAGCUCUUUCCUGGUGGAAAGCUGGGACUCCUGAUCUGCUGGGGCUGACUCCUGGCUCUGCAGCGCCGCUUGUUAGCACGGCGGAGCUUGGCGUGCGAGCACCGAAAUCCUGUUUGCUGGCUUGCAUGGGUUUGGUUAUUAAACACGUCAGCAAUCCCCAUCUGCCUCGUAAGCCUGCCUUUGGAAAUGCACCCCGGAGCGCCAGUCCUGCGAGGUGCCCUCCGCCUUGGAGCGGAGCCGGAGGGAGCGAGGGAGCAGGAGUUUAGGCCCGCACGGACAGACCGUUUCAGCCCUUUUAAUUGGGCUGCCCGGUUGAGGGACAGGAGGUUCUCAAGCAGAGCUACCGUGCGCGGUGGUUAAAGCCUCGGCGAAUGGCCUGGUGCAUACCCCGGAGGGCUUCAGUGCUCUGCGUACCCUUACUAGGGAUGUCCGGGAAGGGGAUGUCUUGGAGGAGGUGGCAAUGGUCUCUUCUCCUCCUUCCCUCGCUGCAAAUGGUCCAGCGUUUUGCAAGGUGCUACACAUUGUAUGCAAAUGUGGAAGUGUUUUGGUGCCUCUAGAGAGGCUUUGACUUUCUGUCUUGAAGCUAUUAAUUACCUAGACAAGGAAAGCUGAACCUACCCAAUUAAUGGCUCCUACUGCUUCGACCUGUCUCUCCAGCUGCUCUGCUGUGAACUAAUGAGCAGCUCCAUUCCCUGGGCCACCAGCGAGCUCCAACUUCUCGUGGCUUUUCCGGGGGAGAAAAGAAAGAAGCAGAAAUGGGCAGGAGCAAAUGGCUGAAAUUCUGUUAUUAACCUGGGCUGAAAAUUGACUCUAUCUUCUGUAAUUACCUGGGCGAUAUUAGGAGAAAGGCCUCGUGGAAGGUUCAGAGCUCGUGUUUGACAGACGAUUGCAAGCAAUUGAGUU